GCAAAAACAUAUGGCUUCCGAGUCUCUGAUGGACCAUAAUAUAUGACCGGUAGGUCACAAGGGUGUGUGGAACAGAUGAAGUUUAUAAGACCUCAGCUACUUCACAGGCAAUGGUACAUCUGGAGUCAGAAGUGGACAGAGAUUAACAAAACGAAACUUAAUCCAGUCAAGACAGAGGAAGACCUCAAGCUGAAAAGCCAACAUGCCUGACAACCACAGCCAAGAUACCAAAGGUCCGAGCACUAGACGUUGGAAAACAAAUGGGAAAGUACACACUGCCACAUCUGGAAUCCUAAUGGGCCACCAAUGGUUCUCAGCUUAAGGAAGA